GAAGGAAGGAAGGAAGGAAGGAAGGAAGGAAGGAAGGAAGGAAGGAAGGAAGGAAGGAAGGAAGGAAGGGAUUCUCACAGCAUGUCUUCUCUUCCUCUAGAAGAUUCUCUCUCCCUUGUCACUUCAAUGUGGAUCUGGGCUGGAAAGCAGAGAAAAAACACUGGAUUUCUGAAAUCAAGCUGUUGGCAGAUUUCCCAUUUCCCUUCAAGAACAUCCCAGGAUAAACCAGCUAACAGAUGAAACUGGUGGAGAGAGGACAAAAAAAAUGUGUGAGUUGUGCCAGGUACAGGACAUUCAGUUAUGGCAGCACAACAGCAUCUGCUGUGUUAAAGAAACUCAUCAGC
rnacentral:lncRNA from 1 species